AUGGAAGACACCACCUUUCCCGCCGGGAUCACCGACAUGGAGGUUGGCAGAGUCGUCUUCGGCGCGUCCGCGACGCCCCCACACUCAUCAAAGAUCCUCUUCCUCGGUGGUGCCGGGGAGCGCAUCGGGCCACGCCAUGGCACGCUCAAGCUGGUGACGGUGAUCGGCGUCUAUCUGGAGCAGUCGGCCGUGCCGUUCCUAACCCUCAGGUGGCAGGGAAAGCCCGCGGAGGAGCUCGCCCGCUCGGCCGACUUCUUCCGCGACAUCGUCGCCGGCCCGUUCGACAAGUUCACGCAGGUCACGCUCGUCGACACCCUGACCGGCCAGGAGUACUCCGACAAGGUGACCGAGAACUGCGUCAACAUCUGGAAGUCCUCGGAGCACUAUUCGGUCGACGAAGGCCAUGGCUCCGCCGCGACAAGCGAGCUCAAGGGGAUCUUCUACCCGGCGUCGUUCCCCACCGGCUCGACCAUCUUCUUCACGCAUUCUGCCGACGGUGUAUUACAGGUAGCAUUUUCCGACGACACAAAGGUUCCGGAACAAGAGAGCGGCCGGGUUGAUAGCAGGGCCCUGUCUGAGGCGGUCCUCGAGUCCAUCAUCGGCGACAACGGCGUGUCUCCUUUGGCGAGGCGUAGCCUGGCUUUCCGCCUCUGUGGUCUCAUAAACCACAAGUGA
rnacentral:rRNA from 1 species